rnacentral:rRNA from 1 species
GAUGAACGCUGGCGGCGUGCCUAAUACAUGCAAGUCGAGCGAACAGACGAGGAGCUUGCUCCUCUGACGUUAGCGGCGGACGGGUGAGUAACACGUGGAUAACCUACCUAUAAGACUGGGAUAACUUCGGGAAACCGGAGCUACUACCGGAUAAUAUAUUGAACCGCAUGGUUCAAUAGUGAAAGACGGUUUUGCUGUCACUUAUAGAUGGAUCCGCGCCGCAUUAGCUAGUUGGUAAGGUAACGGCUUACCAAGGCAACGAUGCGUAGCCGACCUGAGAGGGGGAUCGGCCACACUGGAACUGAGACACGGUCCAGACUCCUACGGGAGGCAGCAGUAGGGAAUCUUCCGCAAUGGGCGAAAGCCUGACGGAGCAGCGCCGCGUGAGUGAUGAAGGUCUUCGGAUCGUAAAACUCUGUUAUUAGGGAAAAACAAAUGUGUAAGUAACUAUGCACGUCUUGACGGUACCUAAUGAGAAAGCCACGGCUAACUACGUG